AAGUACAUACAAAAUUUCUGUAUACUCGUUAUUUUAAUAUAUAUAAAAACGUAUAUAUAUUAGCCGUUAUUAUUUUGAUAAAGAAUAUAUCGCACGAAAAAUCAUGAAUCAGCCAACUAUUGGGCCUCAUGGCAUAAAUUUCGAAGAAAAUCAUUUCUGAGCCUGGCCCCAAAAAAGGUUGAAAUCGCCGGGACAAUUCACACAGCCAAUUGAAUAGCGAGCCUUGUGUGUCUGCAAUGGAAGAAGCGAAAGAGAUCCAGUUAAGGUGUUUACAGUGGUGGAGUAUUGAUGGAUAACGGAUGCUAUUGUUCCGGAGUUGUAAUUCUUCGUAAUCAGCUGAAAACCGAAUCCUUCAUGAUGUUUUACUAAUAUACGAUCUUGGAGUAACAACAACAAUAACAUACCAAAUGUAAUCUCACAAGUGGAGGCGGGGGUGCGUUGAGUGUAUGCAAACGUUAUCCCUACCUCAUGGAGGUGGAGAGGCUAUUUCCUAAAGACCCUCGGCGCUAGAGCAACAAAUCAAAGUAGCUAUGGAAAAGGAAACACAACAUUAAAUAUACACAAUCUUGGAGUUGCUAAAUGAUUAUUGUGUCUCUUUCUAUUUCUGAUUAUUGAGUUUUGUGAUGUUGCUUAUCGCUUUCUUUGUAGCUUUCUUCUAGUGAGAAAUAAAAGUGGUCUAUUGAUGUUAUCAAAGUCACAAACUGCGAGUCUUAGGUGUUAGGUCUAGUGGAUAUCUCAUUACAAGAUAAUAAAAAGAAUGGUGAAAUUUUUAAUUUCUUUGCUUUAUCUAUUAAGGAAGGUGCUAGACUUCAAGGAAUUCAGAAAGACUCCUCAUUGUGUUGGGCAUCACAUUGAUAGUUGAAUUGAGGAGUUCAACAGAAACUCUGCAUUUGCAUUAGCCUAAGGUCUAUAAAUGUUCAAUUUGUUAAAUUGCUUGUGUUUAGUAUUUGAUUAGCAGAAUCUUGAAAUUUCUUACCAACGUUUUCAUCGGUAGUUCUAGAUAGUCUUAAAGAAGAAAGUAGGAAAGUAAGUUUUGGGGGACUAGCUGCUACUGUGCAGAUGAAUACAAUUUCAUUGAGAAGUUUGUGAAGAUAAAUACAACAGUAGUAAGAAAAUAAAAAUGAUGUUUGGAAAUUGAGAUAGUCAAAGCUGUUGCCUUGGUUUUAUUCUAUCAUAAGCAAAAAGACAUCAAAACCAUGCCUUUUGAGCCUAAAAGAAUUUUAUUUAGGUGGAAACAAAUAUGACAGUCAUUUUAUCUUCAAGUUAUUAAGAAUAUACACUAAGUUGUCUUAACAAACCAUAAGAAGCAUCCAGCAAUUAUGAGGUCGCUUAUCUGAAAUCCUAUCUGUAUUGUUUAUUAUAUCUUAUGGGUCACGGUUUAUGAUAUUCUUUUUCCAUUUUUGGCUUCAUUUAUCAAAUGAAACAGGCAUAUCUCUGGUUUGUUAGAUGCCACGUCCAAGCUUUCAUUUCCCUAUUUAACAUUAUCUUGUAAAUGUGGGCUAUCCAGAUGUACACAUGUGCAAUGCACAUGUCAUCUCAUAUAAAACAUAGACAACACCAAAGACUUAGUUUUGCUUCCUUGCAACAUAUUAUAUCUGUUAUUUAAGCUGUAAGGUAGGUGGUUCAAAGAGAUCAUAUUUCCCCUUCCUAUAAUUGAAUUUUUGUUCAGGAUUUUGAGUGUUGGCAGUCAUGUGGGUGAGGCACGCAAUGAUGUCAAGCAUUAUUGCAAAGAGGGUAUCCCCAAAAGUUGAUGUUAUGUGGGUUGGACCAGUAACAAGAUGACACAAAUCAAUAGCCUCUUUACUGAAAAGGACACUCAAAAGUUUUUUCUUUUAGAUUUGUAUCAAAAUCUAUGUCACCAUUGGUUCCUUUGGGGACCCUUUCUCAUUGGUGUUGACACGUUAUUGAAAAUUGGUCCCUUGACUUAAUCUUCUGCAGCUUUUUGAGGAGAUAUUGGUUUGUUGGUUCAAUUGUUUUCAGCUGAAUAUGCCUUUAAUAAACUCCUUUUUUCACAAAAUCCAACUUGUGUUAUCUUUACUUUUUUGCAUUUUGAUGUUCUUGGAACUUUGUUAGUAAAAAGUGGACAUGGCUUCUUGUGGGCCAUUUUUAGAAUCUGUAUUAUGUGGGUGUUAGAGAAUUAUGAUAUAGAAAGCAAUCUGAUAGUAUCUUCAUGAAAAGGUGCUUUUUUAUCUGAUUACUAGUUUUGCUCUAUUAACUCUCUCCUUGAUUUUUUCAUCUGGUCCAUAUGCUUGUUGUUGAUGUGUUGUACUAGGUAUCCCCAACAGGCAAACUUAGUUUUAACAUUAUUUGUUUCCUUUAGUUGACUAUAAGACUUGGUCCUUUAGGAACUUGAGAAGCCAAUAUGAUGUCAGUAAUGAUUUAGCUUAAUGAAGUCAGUUACUAGUAAGUAUUAUUCAUAAGAAAUCCUGGGAAAGUUCUGGAACUUCUAGAAGCGUCACGAAGUUUCCGAGUCAAAGGAUAUGUGCAAAUCAGGAGUUUCUUGUUGCAAGUAUGACUCAAGCACAUGUUUGAAGAUUCUAGGUUUUUGUAUAGAUUGCAGUUGUUUCAAACUCUGUGAGCUGUAAAAAAAACUGGAUAUGUGAGCUGUAAAAACUGGAGCAAAAAGAAAAACUUGCUUUUGGUGACUUCAGUUCAGUAGCAAAUGCAGGAUUUGUGCAAUGCAAGAAUCUGUUUGCUGGGAAUUUACAGACAAAAUCCCUGAAAUUUGGCUAUGAUAAUGCACUUUUAGACAGUUCUAGAAUUGAAGCAGCAAUGAUGAUGCUUGCUUUUGCAUACUUUAAGAUAUUAGAAAAAAAUAAAAUAACAUGAGCAUUUCUAUUUUUGGUAUAGAAGCAAUGAGAGAGGAUGAAAUAGACACCAAUACUUAGCAUGUUAUGGGGAAAUGAGAACCUUUUUAGCUACCAACUUAAAUCAGGUAUUAAUACUUGCAUCAGGGUAUAGGCUCCUAAAUCAAUGUAUCAUGUCCUUUGGUGUGCGAUCACCGUCCUUGAUUGCACUUUAAUGAACUCAGAUUAUUUUGUACAUUAAGUUACCCUUAUUUAGUCCAACUUGUCACUGGCACAAGUAUCAAAUAAUUUUGCUCACUUAAAAUUUAACAAAUUAUAAGAAUCACUUAGUAUGUUAAUAAUAUUUUUACUUAUUUUUAACUUAUCGAUUGAUGUCAACUGCUCGAACCAGCCUCACUUAUUAUGAUUUUUUUGCGUGUGGACCUCCCUUGUCAUAUCCACACACUAAGGCUUCUACCAGACCAUAGGUCACACUACCAAUAAAAUGAUAGCGACUGUAUACAUAUUUCAUUCAGUUUUAGCCUUUUAGGAUUCAUUAAUUAUGCUGUACACCUAUCAUAUUGUCUUAAUCCAAUGAAUUUGUUUUUGAUUAAACCUUAGAAUGUCGACAUGUGUACUACUUCUAAAAGUGUGCAUUUUAUUAAUUUGUUAGUGGACAAUGGGCACAUGCAUAGACUGAAUAAAUAUUAUUAUCUGCCUAAUAACAAGGUGGAAAUCUAGUUAUACAGCAAAAAUAAAAUAAAAAUGCUAUCCCUUUUUAUUUAAAAUGCUAGAUAAUGCCACAGCCCCAGAGAACCUAAUUAAAUACCAGUGAUUACUAAGAAAAAAGAACUAAUUAAACUUAAUCAGCUAAGUACUAAUGUACUAGUUUAUUACUAAUUGUCUAACGUGAUGGUAAACCUAAACAUUGGUGGAAAUUGGAAUUAGCAUUUUUGAAUAGGAAGGUAUUAUUAUACUUAUAAUAUGCAUAUCAUCCUUAAAGUUAGUCCGAAUAAAAUUAAGGAAGAAUAUAAUCCUAUAUUAGUCCGGUCAAAACUCAAAAAAUGAAAAGUAAACUUAUAUGAUCGAC
rnacentral:lncRNA from 1 species